rnacentral:rRNA from 1 species
UACGGGGGGGGCAAGCGUUGUUCGGAAUUACUGGGCGUAAAGGGCCAGUAGGCGGCCAACUAAGUCGGAUGUGAAAUCCCCAGGCUCAACUUGGGAACUGCAUCCGAUACUGGAUGGCUUGAAUUCGGGAGAGGGAUGCAGAAUCCAGGUGUAGCGGUGAAAUGCGUAGAUAUCUGGAGGAAUACCGGUGGCGAAGGCGGCAUCCUGGACCGACAUUGACGCUGAACGGCGAAAGCUAGGGGAGCAAACGGG